rnacentral:rRNA from 1 species
UACGAGAGGCCCAAACGUUAUUCGGAAUUACUGGGCUUAAAGAGUUCGUAGGCGGCGCAGCAAGUAGGGUGCGAAAGCCCUCGGCUCAACCGAGGAAUUGCGCUCUAAACUACUGUGCUCGAGGAACCUAGAGGUGAGCAGAACUGAUGGUGGAGCGGUGAAAUGCGUUGAUAUCAUCAGGAAUACCGGAGGCGAAGGCGGCUCACUGGGGGUUUUCUGACGCUGAGGAACGAAAGCCAGGGGAGCGAACGGG